UACGUAGGGGGCAAGCGUUGUCCGGAUUUAUUGGGCGUAAAGAGCGUGUAGGCGGUCAGGUAGGUCGGUUGUGAAAACUGGAGGCUCAACCUUCAGAGGUCGACCGAAACCAUCUGGCUAGAGUCCGGGAGAGGAGGGUGGAAUUCCUGGUGUAGCGGUGAAAUGCGCAGAUAUCAGGAAGAACACCCGUGGCGAAAGCGGCUCUCUGGAACGGUACUGACGCUGAGACGCGAAAGCGUGGGGAGCGAACAGG
rnacentral:rRNA from 1 species